AUGACUGAAAAGAAGAGGCUGGACCAGCAAGAGAAUAUAAAUGAAGGCUUGUUUUAACCAUCCUACUCAAGGAACACCCUCUCAGGCUCACUAGAUUCUCAGACAGCAGUGGACAGAUAACAAUCCAAAAUGCUGCAUCAUUUUCUGGUACUCUCUGCCCUUUGUGCCAUGAGCAUGACCAUGCCUUUACCUGAUUUUUACUCAUACUCCCCUGCUGCUGGGGAUGGCAGUGGAACUGAAUUUU